GCGGCGGCGGGCGGCGGAGAGCGGGGGCCGGUUCCUGGUCCCCGGGAGAAGCCAAGAAGGUGAAAAGAAACAAGAAAACGAUGGAUGGCAAUGAAGGUUGGUGAGAGUCACGCUAAUUCUCCCGUGGUUCCUUCUUCAUGCCCUCAGAGACUGAAACCUCGCUCACGGCUGGAUGGCUCAUCGGCCCCAGAGAAGGCCAGGAGAGGUUUAACAACUUCUUCAGAAUCACACAGCUUGCAAAUGGUUGGGCUGGGUUUACAUUUAGGCGGUCUUGCUCCAGAGUCAGUGCUCCUAACCAUUGCAAGCAACAAAUCUCAACAAAGUGGAGAAGGAAACGCUGGGGAAAUUUGGAAGUCAGACAUGGCAGAGAGCUAAUGCUGGCAGCUAUUGGGACGUCCUCUUCCAGGACUGGUGAUGAGUUUCCUGGUAUCCAGCCCUGGCCGGACUGAGGCUGUUAAAGGUGGUCUUUGGAACCAGAGGAACUUCAAGCUGGUGCCUUGGCCUCAAUUGAUGCUCCAUUCACAAUUGCCAGGACUCUGCAAUAGCAUCUCUAGAGAUCCCCUGCUCCCAUCUGAUGGCUUCUAAUCCAUCCUUUCUAAUCCAUC